rnacentral:rRNA from 1 species
GACGAACGCUGGCGGCGUGCUUAACUCAUGCAAGUCGAACGGUAAGGCCCUUCGGGGUACACGAGUGGCGAACGGGUGAGUAACACGUGGGUGAUCUGCCCUGCACUUCGGGAUAAGCCUGGGAAACUGGGUCUAAUACCGGAUAGGACCACUGCCUGCAUGGGUGGUGGUGGCAAGCUUUUGCGGUGUGGGAUGGGCCCGCGGCCUAUCAGCUCGUUGGUGGGGUGAUGGCCUACCAAGGCGACGACGGGUAGCCGGCCUGAGAGGGGGAGCGGCCAGACUGGGACUGAGAUACGGCCCAGGCUCCUGCGGGAGGCAGCAGUGGGGAAUAUUGCACAAUGGGUGCAAGCCUGAUGCAGCGACGCCGCGGGAGGGAUGACGGCCUUCGGGUUGUAAACCUCUUUCAGCACCGACGAAGCGCAAGUGACGGUAGGUGCAGAAGAAGGACCGGCCAACUACGUGCCAGCAGCCGCCGUAA